GAUCAUGGCUCAGGAUGAACGCUAGCUACAGGCUUAACACAUGCAAGUCGAGGGGCAGCAUGGACCCAGCUUUGCUGGGUUUGAUGGCGACCGGCGCACGGGUGAGUAACGCGUAUCCAACCUGCCCUUUACUCCGGGAUAGUCUCCUGAAAGGGAGUUUAAUACCGGAUGUGUUUGUCUUUCCGCAUGGGAGCGACAAAUAAAGAUUAAUUAGGUAAAGGAGUGGGGAUGCCGUCCCAUUAGCUUGUUGGG
rnacentral:rRNA from 1 species